UACAGAGGUCUCAAGCGUUGUUCGGAUUCAUUGGGCGUAAAGGGUGCGUAGGCGGCGUGGUAAGUCGGGUGUGAAAUCUCGGAGCUUAACUCCGAAACUGCAUUCGAUACUGCCGUGCUUGAGGACUGGAGAGGAGACUGGAAUUUACGGUGUAGCGGUGAAAUGCGUAGAUAUCGUGAGGAACACCAGAGGCGAAGGCGGUUACCCGGACAGUUACUGACGCUCAGGCACGAAAGCGUGGGGAGCAAAAGGG
rnacentral:rRNA from 1 species